rnacentral:lncRNA from 1 species
CGUAACUUAUAUUUAUUGGUGAUUUAUGAAUGCAGGUUUUAUGGGAUUAAACGUGAUAUAAAUUUCAUAAUUUAUAUUUUAUCGAUUGUAUAUUUUUUUCAAAACUCAUUAAAGGUGAGUCUGUCUUUGACAAAGUGGUCUUAUUGUUUGACAGGUGAAUUUCGACAUAAAUUGUUUUGACAAUAAUUUGUGAAAUAUCCGUGUAUUGCGCAAGUACGGAAGCAAUGUAGAAAUGUGCAUUUUGGUGCAUACCAUUCUUGAUUCCGGGCCAAGAUGUGAAAUCAAGUUAUAGGAUAGGCAAUUACACAAAAUGAUGAAAAUUUUAUUUAGAAAACAUUUUUUAAAAGCAAAAUCUUUAUCUCUAGCAUUCUAUAUAAAACACAUAUUUCAGUUUAGAUUGGUCUGUCGAAUUUUUACAUUACAAAUUUCACCAAGUUAAUUUAAGAUAAUAAGCCAUAGGCGGAUCGGAAUCAUUGAAGCGUGACUGGAGCCCCCCCCCCUUUUAGGUCAGUCAGCGCCCCCUUUAGGAAAAGCAGGAUCCGCCACUGUAAGCUUUACUUGUCUACGACAAUCAUUUUCGUCAAGCCAUUGUUUUCAGUAAUAAUUCAUGCAAAAAAUAGAACAUCUCUUUCGGGAAAGAAAUCCCAAAACUAAUUUACAAUAGCUUUUGAUGUUAAUAUUUGUUUUUUCCUGUAACAUUUCAAACUGUACAACGUAAGCAUUUAUCUUCGACGUUCUGUAACUAGGUCGAGAAAGUGAACAAUUUAUCUUAUAGGUCACCAACAAGAAGGAAGACACGCUGAUUGGAUAAUAACAUCAUGGCUUGUUUGCAUCAUCAUAAUCUUUAUAUCUAAAGAUUAUAGACGCUGAUUGGAUAGUCUCGUCUCGUCUGCUUCAUCAUAAUCACAUUAUCUGAAGUAUGCUUAUCACAAAACGACUUUGAAUCGGAGAUCAGUCGGAACUCGGCGGAAAUUAGCGAUUGAAAUGUUUAAUGCGGUUUAGUUUAAGUUCUGAUUAUUACAGAACGACAGAGCUACUCCUCUUAAUUAUACUGUCGAACAACGGUAUUAAACUUUUAUUUUUUUUCUUUCGAUUUUAAUUUAUGUUUUUUGCUAAAACAAUGUAUACGUUUUUAUAUGAUCUUAUAUGUAUCAAUACAUGAAAUUAUGACCAACUGAUCGUGAAAAAGUCUAUUUUUCAAGGUGUAUUCUUAACCCAAGAAAGGAGAUGACAAAACGAUUAGUAGAAGACAGACAGGUAAAAAAU